GUAGCUACAAGAUGGGUAGAACUCUAC
rnacentral:piRNA from 1 species